AAGUGAUUAUUGGUCAGACUGUUGAGCUAUGCUAGCGGCAGCUGUCACUUGUUGCCAUAGCAACUCCAAACAUCCUGGGCUGUAUAAAGAAAUUGCUUUUG